rnacentral:rRNA from 1 species
AAACCAACCGGGAUUGUCUCAGUAACGGCGAGUGAAGCGACAAGAGCUCAAGAUUGGAAGCGGGAACGCAUUGUAAUCGGGGAGGUUGGGCAUUGAGGAUGGGUGUGGAAGUCCCUUGGAACAGGGCGUCAUAGAGGGUGAGAGUCCCGUGCCACACACGCCGCAAAGCCGGACCUCGCACGGCCGAGUCGAGUUGUUUGGGAAUGCAGCUCUAAGUUGGUGGUAAAUUCCAUCUAAAGCUAAAUACUGGCGAGAGACCGAUAGCGAACAAGUACAGUGAUGGAAAGAUGAAAAGCACUUUGAAAAGAGAGUGAAACAGCACGUGAAAUUGUUGAAAGGGAAGGUUAUUGGGUGAGACGUGGGCUGGUGGAGAUGGUGAGGCCUUGUGCCUUUGCCCGCUGCCUCAGUCCAGGCCGGCAUUGGCUGUGUGGGGAUCCAAUCCCAUGCGCGGCCAAGGAGUGCGUCGUAAGACAAGGAUGCCGGCGUAAUCGCGCAAUAUCGC